rnacentral:rRNA from 1 species
AGAAUCAACGCUGGCGGCGUGCCUCAGACAUGCAAGUCGAACGAUUAAAGCUCUCUUCGGAGAGUGUAUAGAGUGGCGCACGGGUGAGUAACACGUAAGUAAUCUACCUUUGAGUGGGGAAUAACGUCCGGAAACGGACGCUAAUACCGCAUAAUGCAGCGCAUCGCAAGAUGACAGUUAGUUAAAGAUUU